rnacentral:rRNA from 1 species
UGAGUAACCUGCCCUUCACUCUGGGAUAACUCCGGGAAACCGGGGCUAAUACUGGAUAUGACUCGAACAGGCAUCUGUUUCGGGUGGAAAGAUUUAUUGGUGGAGGAUGGACUCGCGGCCUAUCAGCUUGUUGGUGAGGUAAUGGCUCACCAAGGCGACGACGGGUAGUCGGCCUGAGAGGGCGAUCGGCCACACUGGGACUGAGACACGGCCCAGACCUCCGUACGGGAGCA